UCAUAGAGGAGGAGCCUGACGUGGGGCUCGAUCCCAUAACGCCGGGAUCACGCCCUGAGCCGAAGGCAGACGCUUAACCGCUGUGCCACCCAGGCGCCCCUAAACAUAAGUCUUAUCACCAUUGUUAGAUUCUAAGCUUCUUUAAGGUAAUGACUCUAUCUUAUAUCUUUAUAUAUCCUGAAUAACUUAGCUCUAUGCUUUGUACAUAGUAAGAAAUCAACAGAUUUACUGAAUGACCAAAGUGCUAUGAGUGGGGACAGUCUUUAACCUUCUCACCAUAAAUCAACAACAGCGCAUAGAAGCAUGGAGGGAUAAUACUGACUUUCUCUGAGGUCUGCAGUAUAUUGUAGACUUCCCACCAGGCCCAUUCUUACAGUCAUACAUUGCUAGUCACUACAGCAUUCUUUCCUUCUGAGCCUGGACAAGGUGUCCCAGCCCUCUCAACAUAGCAUCAGAUAGUCAUUUUUAUGGAUCAGAAUUUACACGGGAAAAUGAACUUCAUUUUCCUGCUACAUCCAAGAGCUCCAUUUUAUAUACGAGGAAAAAAAGGCCCAGAGAAGUCCAGACACAGAAUCAGGUAGACAAAUUCCUGACAACAGUGGAGUAGAAGCGAAAGCCUAGCACAAAAGAAGCAAAGCACACAUUCGUCCAGAGUUCUGCAUACAUUUAACUAGAAGCUCCUGUGGGAUCUUAACCAGCUUCUUGGACCCACUUCAUUGGUUCUCAAAGACUAACCUGGAGGCCCUGGGAACCUGGUGGGCCUCCGCUCAGGUCAGGAGUGACUCCUUGAAAUUUGGUGGUGUGCUCUUCAUGUCAGAGUCUGUUUCACCAUGUGGGACAGCGGAGGGCGCUUGGCCCAGGGGGCCAGGCAGGUCUUGGUUGAAUUCCACUUCUGCACCUACUAGUGGGCAGUUCACCUCUGUGCACCCCAGCUGCCAUGCUUAUGAGAUGAGACAAGUCAGACUCACCAUGCAGGGUGACUGCAAGGCACCCUUGAUGGCGUUUGGUAGAUGUGAGUUUCCCCUUUUCUGCCUCUUUCCCUGCAAAGUAGGGAAGUGAGGACAUUUGAGUGGGCUUCUUUGCACUUCGCUUCUGCACACACAAUCACGCUCCUCUUUAGCGUAGGCCUUAUUUAUCGUGAUUAUGUGAACGCAUUGUUUUUACUGAAAUGUAUAAGAUGUUAAUGAGUAUUGUUCUGUGAGUAAUCAUUUACAAAUUUCCUUAUUUAUUGAACUGAAAGAGGCUUUUUCAGUUGGUCAAGGGCUGUCCUCUCAGAUACCUGUGCUUAAAGCAGGGUGGUUUUCAGCUGGUCUGUUCUAACGUAGGCACCUGCAUUGAGCUCUGCAGUGAUGACUGGGAUUGUGAUCUGGGGGAGCACUGCGUCAGCAAUGGGUGUGGCCACAUCUGUGCUGCAGCCUAAGGACAGAUGAAGACUUACCUUGAGGGUCAUCCUUCUCUAACAAUUUCUCAUUGCUUCCUAUCUUCAAAGAUAUGACUGGAACUCCUUGACCAGGAAGACAGAUGAAAAUGGGGGACUGUGGGUGGAUAUUACAAGAGAUGUGAUGGGGAAGGAAAAAGAGUCAUUUCUUUUAAUAAAUCAUCAUUGUUAAAAGGA